ensembl:lncRNA
GACAGGAGUGUCACUCCGGAAGCCUUUAUUUUGAUGUUGUUUUGUAUAUCCUGCAUUAAAACCUAGAGAGAGAGGAACCUAGAGAGUUCCAGAGAGGAAUAGGUCUACGUCUGAGGUCUGUUUGAGUAAGGACUAAGGCAGGAAUCUGAGAUUUGGACUGCCAUGAAGGGAAAAGAGUACCAGCACUGAGAAAAUUAUAGAAGCACAGGACAGCUGAGGCUGGCAGGGCCCUCUGGGUCCCUCUGCUCCAACCCCUGACCCAGCAGGGACACCCAGAGCAGGGUGCCCAGGGCCACAUCCAGGUGGCUCUGGGAGAUCCCCAAGGAGGCAGAUUCCAUAAAUAAGCAUUACUGCACUAACUGUGUUGGUGUCCAUGUGUUUUAUAUUUAUCUGGUAUUUGGGGCAGGUGAGUACCCCGGGUGUCACACGAAAUCUCCCCACCACCAGUCAGAUGCAAUCCCCAUGCAUCACUCACAACACCAUUGGGCAGAGAUGUUCCCAGAUGUGGACAGGGACCACCUUCCCCAAAGCCACGUUUAGCAACCCCCAGGGGCACAGUAGUAUUAAAAAUACUAUUGCACACAAGAAUGUGGGAGAGCCCUGAGAGAGCAGAACUGUAACCAUGGGUGCAUUACUAACGCCUCACUCCUACACAGGCCAGAUCUUACUCAGCAAACACGGUAUUCACACAGGCAGCUCACUCAACAAAGCUGGAAAAAGCUCUUACAGCUACGAGAAGAACUCGUGUAAUUUCCAUGGCUGUGAAUCAGGACGUCUUCAUUCUUGUGGCAUGUUUUUCACUUUUAUGAACACUAAUUUCGCUGCAUUUUCGGAGCGGUGACUUUAGCCACAGCGUGGCUGCUGCGAAGUUCCCACGGCUACCAGUAGGACUUUUAUGUGGGAAAUCUGUGGGCAGCAGGGAGCCUCCCUGCUUGUAUCAAUAGGAACUUCCCAAGCGCCUCAGACUGACAUUUUCUCAGCCCGGGAUCGGAGCACACAUGCUCUCAUUUAGAGCUCCCUUCUCCGAAGCUGAAGGACAUGUGUGAUCAUUUUAGCUCCGGCAAUUUUCUAGCAGGCCUUUUGCACACAGAGGAAUCCUGCGCAAAUGGGUUUUUUCCUCUUCAGCCAGCAGAAACCCCAUCCUGCAAACUGCUGAGCAGGGCACCGAGGGGUGAACACAGGAGAUGCCAGCCAGGGCCACGUUGACCCCAGGCCCCCAUCAUGUUGAAGACCACGGAGGAAGCAUAUCAGAGUCCUACCAGUGUGGAUGCUGCAUUGCAGACCUCCCCUCACAAACUUUCUGAAUUUUGGGGUGCACAGAGCAUCCCUCCAGUGUGCCUCAACACCACAGAGACAUCAGUUUUCCUUCUUUCUAUGCGUCUGCUGGGGCUGUCAGGCCACCACCAGCAGUCAUCCUGUCCCACAAGAGUUUCCCAGCCUUUCGCAUCACAGCCAUGCAUUCCAGAGAUGACCAGACACAUAAAUACGUCUUCUGUGCUUGCACACUGGAAGACUUUCUGCAGCUGGAUAAUAAGAGCAUGUUAAAAGCAUAUAUAUUGUCUCCACCAGUCAAAAAAAAAAAAGAAAAAAAAAGAAAAAAAAGGUUGAAUUUUUGUUCUCAGAAGACAGAAAUGCAGUGGGAGGGCAACGGGCAAGUUGUACAGCUUUGGAUUUAUUAAAGAUAAUAUAUUGCAGGGAAAAAUCAGCUGUGGUGGGACACUGUGUUUACUGGAUGUUUAGAGAAGACCACACAACCCACAAACACGACAGGACCACGCUCAAUGAUCGUAUCUCACUAUCGCUUCCUAUUUGCAGAACUGUAAUUGUGGGAAUUCUUAAGGUCCAUAAUCACUAAAAAUGGAUAUCUGAACUCAGAAACCAGGGAGGCAGAAGCCCUCAAGGAAUUGUUUUCCACUUCGGUAGAAACAAAAAGGCUGAAUUCUUUGUCAAUGAGAGAUGGCCCAGUUUUGCAGCUUUAGGUUUGGUAGAAGAAACACCUGGCUGCCUAUCAGUAACAGGGCAGAGUCUGAUGAGAACAGAGGACAGAGAUUGUCACUCAUUUAUCAUGUGUAAGGAUUUCAUUGAUGCACGUCAUUCCAGGCAAGCUAAAUGCAAAAGAGGUCUCAAAGUGAUUCUUUUCUAAAAUCUGUGUGAAAAUAAUCAACAGAACAGGAGAAAAUAAACACAUGAUGUCUACAGGCACCCCAAUUGACAGCAGGGCUGUGGUGUGAACCAAUGUCAUUAUGUUACCAAGAUCACUGCAGGGGGAAGGAGCCAUAAUGUUUCAACACAGAGAAUGGCAUCAACAACAGCUUGUGCUCACCCAUUAUACAAACCCAUGGCACUCCAGUAGUCGUGAUGUUUGAGCAAUCCCUUAUUGUCAUGAAGAGCACGUUCACAGAAUCACUGAAUCAUUAUGGUUGGAAAAGACCACUGCCUGGUCCAACCAUCAACCCAUCACCACCAUGGCCACUAAGCCAUGUCACUCGUGUCCAGAGUAUGGAGCUGGAGAUGGGGUUUUGCUGGUGAGAGGAGCUAAAAAAUGAGAAAUGUGCCAAAGAAAAUGAGGAAGCAGCAAAAAUGAGAUAAAAGAUGGAAGAGAGCAGAAGGUCAACAGGUUGGUCUCUGCAAAACUUGUAAAGGCUUCUUGGUGUCGAGUCAUGUGAAGGGAAAGUGGGUGGCUCUUGAGACACAGUAAAAAUGAGAAUUAACUCACCUACUAAAUUCUCAGUCAUCUUCCUCUUACAACCACUGCCAGGAAGUCUGAUUAAUCAGUCUAAGCUUAAAUAGAACAAAAAAAGAGAAAAUACUAUGCAGUGUGACUGGUCCAUGAGGAAACCAUGAAUUUGCUCUUUUAGUAAUUAAAAGUGACCCAGCAGGUUUUCCAGAGCAAUCAUCUCUCAUUCGGAGAAUAAAAUGUUCUCCACCCAUGUACAUGGAAUCUACUGCAUUCUCUACCCAGAUAAUCACAUUGUUUUGCCCACUUGGAUGAAGUUUCAUUUUUGUGAGGUGGUUCCCCAGGUACCACUUAUUUUUCUGCUGAGAAAGUAUGAGUAAAAUUAUUCCAAUGAUGGAAAAGUAGAAAUGCUUUAACUACCUAGUUGGUCAUCUUCUGCAGAUUUCUAUGGAAGAAAAAAAGAAGUUCAUUGCCACUGCCAACGUGAGAUGCAUAUUUUGCUGAGUAUGACUAUGGCUGACAAAGUUUCCACCCCGAGUACAGUGCAGUGGAGACAGGCCUCACAGGUUUGUGUUUGACGUCUUGCUGUACAAAACCCGUGUACUUGUACAGCUCAGCUUGUGCUGCAUCAGCUUUGACUUUCAAAGCCAGAUUUCUACGUGUCUUCACCUUUGGAUAUUUUUAAUGCAUCUACUUCACUGAAUGGGAGAAAUAUCAUCAAUAUCUGUGUCUCAAGAGGUCUCCUCCAGAUCAUGCGUGAGACGUGGCUCUCAAGGCACUGUGUGGGGAAAGGUUCCACCACAUUUAAUCCCCUGGAGUACUUCUUCACGCAAGUCAGUGAGAGUAAAUCCAGUGCAAAAUGAGCAGAGGAGGCAGAAAUGAGUCUGCAGGCAAAACCCCAGUGAGUCAAAGCAUCGCUCAGCGACGACAUCAAAUUGUGCUGGUAGAGGUGAGGCAGCACAAAUGCCGUGAGGAAGGUUGGGGCUCGUUAGUGUCUGUGAGGGUUUCUUUCAGACAUGAGCACAGUCUGAAAUCUGAAGUCCAUAAAAACCUUUCAGUCACUCUGGAUUUGGCUCUAAGAGAGAAGAGAAGGUUCUGGCGUUGAGUUUGAACAUACCAGAGCAACUCAAGCCAUUGAACUGGUGGCAAUGUCACAGUGGAAAGAAAAAGGAAGCAGAACUGAAGAAACUUCUGAGAAAUGUAAAAACCAGUUAACUGGACAGGAAUUGAACAAGUCAUCAAGCAUUAUGGGAAGAGGCUGGUUCCUAAAGGUAUGUCCCAUGCAGCCUUUCUGUUUAUAAAGUUUGUAUCAGCACUCCAGUAAUCACACCUGGGCAUUCAGGGCUGGAACUAGAUGAUCUUUGAGGUCCCUUCCAACCCAAGUCGUUCUAUGAUCCAUGUCAUUCUAUAAGGAUUAGGCUACUGGACAAGAGAUAACAUAUACUUUAACACUGUCUGCAAAUGAAAGACGUCAUGGACUUAAGAAACUGCACAUCUUUGUUACAUAACAAUACAACUAAAAACAAAUAAUGUAUUACUUCAUAUGGCCAUCUACUGAAUUUCAUAUCAAGACUAAUUUCAUGUCCAAAAUCACUAGCCUUCGCCUGCUAUCAGAUAGACAAAAGAGAAAUUAGCACUCUCUUUUUCAUGUUUCAGAACAAAAGCACAAGCUUUGAAGCGCUGCCUUUGUGAAAGAAACAGUUGUGGCCUGCUAAAACAAGCUUGUGGUAAUGAAAAGGUUAACUAAUUUGGUUUCCCUGAUAAGUUUAUCUAUGAUCAGAACUGAGUCAUACAGAAAAUACUCCUACAAGAUUUGACCUUUUACUUGUAUCCCACACUGAGAUAAUAUUAUACUUAAAAUGGAUAUCAAUAAGAACUUUGUUUUAAAAACUAUAUUUAAAAUAAAUUACUUUUAAAUAACAGAAACUGUUUUCAAUUAGCCCUGUUAAAGGAAAUCAACUAGAAAGUUAUGUAUGCUUUUUUAUUUUCUUUAUAUAAAUUAUACCCAGGAGUCCUAUGAUAGCAGCACUAUACAAACUAUGCACUACCUUUAUAUUUAUUUCUUAUCAAAAUAAACUUAACAAAUUAGAUUUGUUUUUACAGCACUUUAUAUCCAAUAAUGACAAUGUUGUAUUGGUCCCAGGAUAAAAACAAUGAAAGUAGCAGCUGAAUGGUAUUUUUAUUAAGAGUUAACAAAAAUGUCCUGUGCAAACACAGGGUAUAAAGAAAAUUAAUUCCAUAAUUCCUUAUGAUGAAGGCGUCCCUCCCUCUUCCCUUUUUUUCUCACAAUAUCAAUCUCAUUUGGAAAGAUCGUUUUAAGGGGAAAACUUUAAGUUUUAGCAUGACUUACUCAGCAAAAUGAUAUAGCUGAACUUAAACACUGCUGACUGCUACGAUUUAAUAUUAGGACCUGGCAAAUGCUUUGAUAACUUAAUACUUUUUAAAAGAAAACUUGUUUGUUACCGAAGAUUUUGGGAGCUCAGAAGAAAUAUAAUCUGAAAAAAUAACAGAGCUAAAGAUCCAAAGAGAGGUUUCUUCUUUUUCCCAUUUUUUCCAUUUCCUUUACCUUGAGCUGGUUCCUCCAUGUGAGCACAUUCAGAGGCCUUUUACUGGUGGCAGAUUCAAAUAUCUCUGAGAUACUCACCGUACAAACUCAGCAAGAGUCCACGUUUUCCUCCAGCAGUGGAAAAAUGGCAGGGCUAAUAGUCUGGGCUUUGUUACUAAAAAUGAGUCCUUAAACUAAAAAAAAAUAAAAUAAAAAAAUAAAAAUUAAAACAUUGUUUAGAACAUGUGGUUUGCUGCUAUUAAGCUAACAGUGGAAAAUCUCAUUACUUUUAAUUUUAUUUUGUAGUGGGAUUGUUUUGUAGACUGAGGCGAAUUUUCUCUUAAGCAGAGCCUCCCCUCCUACCUUGCAGCAUUCUACUCUGCAGGCAGCCCUUUGCACGGCUCGCCUCGGUGUUUCAGGUCAAAGUGCUGAAUUAAAAAAAGAAAACAGAUCUUUCCCCAUGUGUGCCUCUCGCGUGCCAGCCUCUCCAGCUCUUGCUCUGACAGAGGAGUGUUCCACCCUGGGCUGGGGGUGUUCUCCAUGCAGUGCUAGGAACGUAUCUGCUCCGACUGAAAGCUCCACAGGGGCAAAUAAGGCGUCAGAUAGAUCCUGAUGUCACCUCUAUGCAGGAAGCCCUGUGAAGAAGCAAGAUGGGUGGGUGGAAUUUGGAUUCUGGAGCUCAAAGUGGCCAGAGUAGAAAAGAGAAGAUUGUAAAGGUUUCUGCAUUGGAUUUCUUGCCAAAGUUUGGAAGCCUCUCAUCUGACUUCUGACUUCGGAUUGAGGCUACAAUGAUUUACAAGAACAGAGGACCAAAUGUGCAAUUUGAAGUGAAAAUAUUGCCAAGGCAGAAGCCUUGCUCAGAGCUUAAAAGCUUCUAUAUACACACAUAUGUAUAUCCGACUUACUGUGACUCAAAUCUGAAACUCUUAUGGUUUAAAAUACCAAGUGAGAUUCAGGGUCACAUAAUAUUUGCUUUCCGUCAACAGCCCAGUGGAUUUCCCUGUAACAUAUGCUUGCACAUGACAAGGCUCACUCUUGUGCAGAGGUGAGCCAUUAUAUUGUAAAUUCCACUUGCAAUACAAUCCUUAUGUAACCCAGAUAUCCUUAUAUUUUCAAGUUCAGCCAUUCCCCUGGCACUCAGCACUUUUCCAGGUCCUGGUUCGUCAUGAGAAUUUGACAUCUGCUUCCUGAAUAAAAAAAAUAUACGCACAUCAGAUCACUGAUGAUCAGAUACUAUAUUUCUUUUGAACAUCUCUCUAGUCCUCAGUUCUUAACAAAGCUGCCAGAGGCUGAGCUCUACAUCCAGAUGAUGACUCACCCAGCCUCACUGCUGCCAGGGCCUCGCUUUUCCAUCAGCGGUCAUUCUGGGAGCUCAGGAGGCUUCCAGUAUGGGACAUCCUGACUGGUAAGGAAUCACGGGUGAACUGUCCAUCCUGUCACACUGAGCAGAAAGUUUGCUACUGAUUUCAAAGAACUGAGAUUUUUACCCACAGGAAAUCAAGCACGUAUAAAGAUCACCGCCCAGCUCUUCAGCAGCCCUCCAUCCAGAGGAUGAGUCAUCUGCCAGCAGAACAGAAGGGCACUGGUGGGAGCUCUAUUCCAAAGAGCAUGCAAAGAAUUAGAGGAAC